rnacentral:rRNA from 1 species
AUUGAACGCUGGCGGCAGGCCUAACACAUGCAAGUCGAACGGUAGCACAGAGAGCUUGCUCUUGGGUGACGAGUGGCGGACGGGUGAGUAAUGUCUGGGAAACUGCCCGAUGGAGGGGGAUAACUACUGGAAACGGUAGCUAAUACCGCAUAACGUCUUCGGACCAAAGUGGGGGACCUUCGGGCCUCACACCAUCGGAUGUGCCCAGAUGGGAUUAGCUAGUAGGUGGGGUAAAGGCUCACCUAGGCGACGAUCCCUAGCUGGUCUGAGAGGAUGACCAGCCACACUGGAACUGAGACACGGUCCAGACUCCUACGGGAGGCAGCAGUGGGGAAUAUUGCACAAUGGGCGCAAGCCUGAUGCAGCCAUGCCGCGUGUAUGAAGAAGGCCUUCGGGUUGUAAGGUACUUUCAGCGGGGAGGAAGGCGUUAAGGUUAAUAACCUUGGCGAUUGACGUUACCCGCAGGAGAAGCACCGGCUAACUCCGUGCCAGCAGCCGCCGUAA